CCUACGGGAGGCAGCAGUGGGGAAUAUUGCACAAUGGGGGAAACCCUGAUGCAGCAACGCCGCGUGAGUGAAGAAGGAUUUCGGUAUGUAAAGCUCUGUCAGCAGGGAAGAAGAUGACGGUACCUGACCAAGAAGCCCCGGCUAACUACGUGCCAGCAGCCGCGGUAAUACGUAGGGGGCAAGCGUUAUCCGGAUUUACUGGGGGUAAAGGGAGCGCAGACGGCAGUGCAAGUCUGGAGUGAAAGCCCG
rnacentral:rRNA from 1 species